GACGAACGCUGGCGGCGUGCCUAAUACAUGCAAGUAGAACGCACAGUUUAUACCGUAGCUUGCUACACCAUAGACUGUGAGUUGCGAACGGGUGAGUAACGCGUAGGUAACCUGCCUGGUAGCGGGGGAUAACUAUUGGAAACGAUAGCUAAUACCGCAUAAUAUUGAUUAUUGCAUGAUAAUUGAUUGAAAGAUGCUAUUGCAUCACUACCAGACGGACCUGCGUUGUAUUAGCUAGUAGGUGAGGUAACGGCUCACCUAGGCGACGAUACAUAGCCGACCUGAGAGGGUGAUCGGCCACACUGGGACUGAGACACGGCCCAGACUCCUACGGGAGGCAGCAGUAGGGAAUCUUCGGCAAUGGACGAAAGUCUGACCGAGCAACGCCGCGUGAGUGAAGAAGGUUUUCGGAUCGUAAAGCUCUGUUGUAAGAGAAGAACGGGUGUGAGAGUGGAAAGUUCACACUGUGACGGUAUCUUACCAGAAAGGGACGGCUAACUACGUG
rnacentral:rRNA from 1 species